UACGUAGGUGGCAAGCGUUGUCCGGAAUUACUGGGUGUAAAGGGAGCGUAGGCGGGAGAAUAAGUUGAAUGUAAAAUCUAUCGGCUCAACCGAUAGCCGCGUUCAAAACUGUUUUUCUUGAGUGAAGUAGAGGCAGGCGGAAUUCCUAGUGUAGCGGUGAAAUGCGUAGAGAUGCGGAGGAACACCAGUGGCGAAAGCGGCUUUCUGGUCCUUAACUGACGCCGAGGCGCGAAAGCAUGGGGAGCGAACGGG
rnacentral:rRNA from 1 species